UACGGGGGGGGCAAGCGUUGUUCGGAAUUACUGGGCGUAAAGGGCUCGUAGGUGGCCAACUAAGUCAGACGUGAAAUCCCUCGGCUUAACCGGGGAACUGCUCUGAUACUGGAUGGCUUGAGUUCGGAGGAGGAGGUAGCGGCGAAUUCCAGGUGUAGCGGUGAAAUGCGUAGAUAUCUGGAGGAACACCGGUGGCGAAGGCGGCGA
rnacentral:rRNA from 1 species